UCUCCUAACAAUUUAUAGUCUUCAUCAGAGGUACAAUGCCAUCUGGUUGAAGAGCGGCUCAUCUUUGGUCAAUAUGAGCACUCUUCAUCAGAGGUACAAUGCCAUCUGGUUAAAGAGCGGCUCAUCUUUGGUCAAUAUGAGCACAUGAAAGACAACAAGGUUCGACCCAAUUAUAGACAACAAUAUCGUAGUCAGAAACGUAAAUCGAUGUACAAGAAAUCAGGGUCCGUGCAAUUUACAAAAGAAUUCCCUUAUAGAUACAUCAUCAACAUGCAAGAUUAUGUUUAUAUAGAUGAACCUAUAUUUAAAUAUAUUUUUCACGUACUGUACUUUAGUUGUAAAUAAUAAAUUUAAAGAUUUGUACAUUACAGACAUGCUUGUCUCUAUCUUUUUUUAAGAGAAGACAUAAGUAACUAUAAAUGUAUUGCUAAUGUAUUACCAAACUAACAUUAAUAUAAAUUUAUAUAUUUGUACUACUCUUUCACUCUUUAUAUCAACAAUCCUUCUUCGUCUAA